CCUAGUCUAGUCUGGACAACAUAUCACUAUAUCAAAGGUCAAGGUGUUGGCAUAAAACAUAUUUUUCUCAAAUAGAAAAAAAGGCCCAAAAAUCCUCCUCUUUUCAUUGCUCUUCUUCAGUUAUUCGAUUAUGAAUCAAGAAACCCUUCCGUUGGAAUCCACUAACACGUUUCCUUGAUUGAGUCAAACCCAAUUCUUUAAAUUCACCAAGACCCCCCCUCAACGUUUCCUCUAAUGGGUUUCAAUUUGGAUAAAAAUUCAAGAUUAUAUGAUGAUUGUCGCAUUCCAAAGUAGGACAAAUGAAGUAAGAGGUAGACAUAUUGUUUGUCGCCAAAUCGAGAAGAGCUAAAGGUGCGUUCUAUUGAUUUUGUUAUUUUUACUCUUUUGGGUUGGAUCACAUGAUGUUGUACGUUUUUAAAAUGCUCAUGCAUGAUAAGUGAUUUCUGUAGACGUAUUCAUGCUGUUGUGUUAUGAUAAGUUAUGUUAAAAGUGAUUUUUGUA